GCUGAAACGGACUUCUGUGGAACCAGAGGUUGUGUAUUUAAGUCUUGAAAAACUAGACUAGGGAAUGCUGAGAUUUUUUUCUUUUCUGCUUUGGGGCAGAUCAGCUCCGGUUGUUGGCGUUUUCAUGGCCUUCGCGAGUCGCCUGACAUGGAGCGAGCAGAGUGCAGCGUUACCCGCUGGAAGGUGCGAGACCACGCAGAGGAGGACAGGGAGGAGGAGACAGGUGUUUUGGACCGGCUUAGGUUUUGGGGAGGGAAUUGCGAAUCUCCUGUUGUCUCACCCACUGUUGAUCAUUUGAUGAUGCAGAACAAAAAAAUGAAGAGAGUCUGUUUUUAGUGGAGUGUGAUGCUGUGUACAUUUCAGAGGAGGAUGGAAUCCAGACCUCUUCAGAUAUGAACUUGGAAGAGAGCAGUGCCAUUUCAGAAGUUGUGCACUCCAUAAAACGCAUAAAGAGGCUGAACACAGAUUUACAAAAGUCUCUGGAUAUGGCAGAAGACAGCAACUCAGCCCUCAGAGCCGAAAACACUGCCCUGAAGAACCAAAUCAAAACGUGAUUUACUCUAACUACCUACAGUCAUUUUAAA